CAAAAAUACCGGGAAGAGACCGAAUAUACUAAUCGAAAAAAUAACAAAAGAAAUAAAGAAUAUUUAAAACUUAAUUUGUUUACUCGUCACAUUCUUCUUCAUUCAAAAUUGCAUUUUUUUUCUCAUCUUCCUCCUCU
rnacentral:ribozyme from 16 species